rnacentral:rRNA from 1 species
UACGUAGGGUGCUAGCGUUGUCCGGAUUUACUGGGCGUAAAGGGCGCGUAGGCGGCAUGACAAGUCACUUGUGAAAUCUCUGGGCUUAACCCAGAACGGCCAAGUGAUACUGUCGCGCUAGAGUGCAGAAGGGGCAAUCGGAAUUCUUGGUGUAGCGGUGAAAUGCGUAGAUAUCAAGAGGAACACCUGAGGUGAAGACGGGUUGCUGGGCUGACACUGACGCUGAGGCGCGAAAGCCAGGGGAGCAAACGGG